AGUUAUUCCCUUAAGGGGGAUAAAGGGGGCUGCAAGGGAAGAAACGAAAAUGGAGUCUGUCCGGCUCUCUCUGCUAGGAGAGAGUCACUCAGGUUAAAAUAAGGUAGGGUAUCACAGGCUCUAGCUCUCCAGGCAGAUCCUUUAGAAAAGAGAACGUCCAACCUUUUGGGCUGCCCCUUGGGCCCUUAUGCUCUGCUUGGUGGAUCUGCAAGUCACGUGGGUGCUGGCUUCCGUCUGCAGGGAAGUCCCACCUGUGCAGAGCCAUGGCUCAUCACGAGGAGUCGGUGCGGGAGGCCAGCCUCUGCAAGAAGCUGCGGAGCAUUGAGGUGCUACAGAAGGUGCUGUGUGCGGCACAGGAACGCUCCCGGCUCACGUACGCCCGGCACCAGGAGGAUGAUGACCUGCUGAACCUGAUGGACGCCCCCAGUGUUGUUGCUAAAACUGAGCAAGAGGUUGACAUUAUAUUG
rnacentral:sRNA from 1 species